ACACAUGCAAGUCGAACGGAGCACCCUUGAUUGAGGUUUCGGCCAAAUGAUAGGAAUGCUUAGUGGCGGACUGGUGAGUAACGCGUGAGGAACCUGCCUUUCAGAGGGGGACAACAGUUGGAAACGACUGCUAAUACCGCAUGACGCAUUUUGAUCGCAUGGUCGAAAUGCCAAAGAUUUAUCGCUGAAAGAUGGCCUCGCGUCUGAUUAGCUAGUUGGUGAGGUAACGGCCCACCAAGGCGACGAUCAGUAGCCGGACUGAGAGGUUGACCGGCCACAUUGGGACUGAGAUACGGCCCAGACUCCUACGGGAGGCAGCAGUGGGGAAUAUUGGGCAAUGGGCGCAAGCCUGACCCAGCAACGCCGCGUGAAGGAAGAAGGCUUUCGGGUUGUAAACUUCUUUUAAGUGGGAAGAGUAGAAGACGGUACCACUUGAAUAAGCCACGGCUAACUACGUGCCAGCAGCCGCGGUAAUACGUAGGUGGCAAGCGUUGUCCGGAUUUACUGGGUGUAAAGGGCGUGCAGCCGGGCAUGCAAGUCAGAUGUGAAAUCUCAGGGCUUAACCCUGAAACUGCAUUUGAAACUGUAUGUCUUGAGUGCCGGAGAGGUAAUCGGAAUUCCUUGUGUAGCGGUGAAAUGCGUAGAUAUAAGGAAGAACACCAGUGGCGAAGGCGGAUUACUGGACGGUAACUGACGGUGAGGCGCGAAAGCGUGGGGAGCGAACAGGAUUAGAUACCCUGG
rnacentral:rRNA from 1 species